rnacentral:lncRNA from 1 species
CGCUUUCUCUGAAAAGCACGACAGGGUUCUGACACAUGCCAGAAAAGCAUAACAGAAUUCUGUUAUGCUCAGAAGCAGAAAAAGAGAGAUAAAAGGCAGAAUCAGAGUGAGAGCGGGGGGUGAGAAAAAAGAUAGAGAGAAAAACAGAGUGCAAGUUUUUCUGAUACACACGCAUUUUUACUAAGUUUCCAGUUUCUGGUGGUUCUGUUGAACUAACUUGAUCGUCGGAGUGCAAACGGCCGCUAGAGGCGCCGUCUGUGUAUUUUGCAGGUCACAUUUUGAAGACAUCUG